UUUAAAAUUUGUGUUAUUUAGCUAUGGAUUUGACAUUUAUUUGCAAUAUUGUGAGUUUGUGAGCCGGUGUUUUCUGGUCAUUUCGGUCUAAUUUGUGAAAUUACGAGGUGGGUAUUAGCUCUCCAUAUCUGCUUUUUCGUAAUUGUACGACGUGGGUGUCUGAUACAAGUUAUGAUUCUAUGGUUUUACGAGCCUACAUGGAUCCAAUGGCUGAAGAGCAAUUAGAUUAUGAAGAUGAGGAAUAUGGAGGGGCUCAGAAGAUGCCAUUUCAGGGAGGUGGAGCCAUUUCUGCACUUGCAGAUGAUGAGCUGAUGGGGGAAGACGAUGAAUAUGAUGAUCUUUACAAUGAUGUUAAUGUUGGAGAGGGUUUUCUGCAGAUGCACCGAUCUGAAGCACCAGCACCAUCAGGUGUUAUGGCUGGUGGGCCGUUCCAAGCUCAUAAAACCGAUGUCCCACCACAAAAACUAGAAGCUGGCACUUCACAGGGGCUGAUCAUCCCAGGAGUUUCAAUUGAAGGGAAGUAUUCUAAUCCCCAUUUCCAUGAGAAGAAGGAAGGGCCAAUGGCUGUUAAGGGGCCGGAAAUGGGAUCUACUAGCCACUUAGAUGGGCCUUCAGUUUCACAGAAGGGAAGGGUUUUGGAGAUGACUCAUGAUACUCAAGUCAGAAAUUUGGGAUUUCAAGGAUCGACUCCAAUUCCCCAAAAGACUGGGGCUGAACCAAGUGAUGUGCAUGGAAAAAUUGCUAAUGAGUCCACACCAGUCCUGAAUUCUGGAACUGGUGGUCCUAGAGCUGUUCCACAGAUGUUGAGUAACCAAAUGGGAAUGAAUGUGAAUGUGAACCGUCCAAUGGUUAAUGAAAAUCAAAUCCGGCCAGCUGUGGAUAAUGGUGCAACCAUGCUCUUUGUAGGAGAACUACAUUGGUGGACAACUGAUGCAGAACUUGAAAGUGUGUUAUCUCAAUAUGGAAGGGUGAAGGAGAUUAAGUUCUUUGAUGAGAGAGCUAGUGGUAAAUCCAAAGGCUAUUGUCAAGUUGAGUUCUAUGAUGCUUCUGCUGCAGCCGCAUGUAAAGAAGGAAUGAAUGGUUAUAUUUUCAAUGGCCGAGCUUGUGUGGUAGCCUUUGCUUCUCCACAGACUUUGAAGCAGAUGGGAGCUUCUUAUAUGAACAAAACUCAAGCCCAAUCUCAGUCUCAGGGAAGGAGGCCUAUGAAUGAUGGGGUGGGAAGAGGUGGUGGGAUGAAUAUGCAAGGAGGAGAUGCCGGGAGGAACUAUGGAAGAGGUGGUUGGGGCCGUGGAGGGCAGGGAAUACUCAACAGAGGCCCUGGGGGUGGAGGACCAAUGAGGGGAAGAGGGGGUGCUGUGGGAGCAAAGAACAUGGUUGGAAACACUGCUGGUGUUGGUGCCAGUGGAGGAGGGUAUGGGCAAGGUCUUGCAGGUCCCACAUUUGGAGGUCCUGCUGGUGGUUUGAUGCAUCCUCAGGGUAUGAUGGGUUCUGGAUUUGAUCCAACAUAUAUGGGUCGAGGAGGUGCUUAUGGAGGGUUCUCUGGUUCUGCUUUUCCUGGGAUGGUACCUUCAUUUCCAGCUGUUAAUACAAUGGGACUUGCAGGGGUGGCCCCUCAUGUCAACCCUGCCUUCUUUGGCCGGGGAAUGGCAGCCAAUGGAAUGGGAAUGAUGGGUGCUACUGGAAUGGAUGGGCACCAUGCAGGAAUGUGGACUGACACGAGUAUGGGUGGAUGGGGAGGAGAGGAACAUGGCCGAAGGACUAGGGAGUCAAGUUAUGGUGGAGAUGAUGGUGCUUCUGACUAUGGGUAUGGAGAGGUGAACCAUGAAAAAGUUGGAAGGUCAAAUACUGCCUCCCGGGAAAAGGAAAGGGGUUCUGAGCGUGACUGGUCAGGGAACUCUGAGAGAAGGCAUCGUGAUGAGAGGGAGCAAGACUGGGAGAGGUCAGAUAAGGAUCACAGGUACCGGGAAGAAAAAGAUGGAUAUCGUGACCAUCGACAACGUGAACGUGACUUCAAUAAUGAGGAUGAUUGGGACAGAGGACAAUCUUCUUCGAGAUCUCGGAGCAGGUCCCGGGCUGUGGCAGAUGAAGAUCAUAGGUCUCGCUCAAGGGAUGGUGAUUAUGGGAAGAGGAGACGCUUGCCAUCAGAGUGAUGCUAUGCUGUUCAUCUUUCUUUGGCAGUUCUUAUGAGACCCCACAUUUAUGUUCUCACUUCUCAGUUUCUCUUCAUCAGAGUGCUACAGUGGAUAUAUUAUACUUUCUGAUUUCUGUUGGCCCCACAUACGGAGUGCGGCUUCCGGAUGGCAAAAGGAGCAGAGUGGGCUACUCUUUGUUGUCUUGAUUGAAUCAGACUAUGUUGGUAACUUGGAGUAAGAUGUGUUUUGGCUGCCUUCAUUGAAUUCCUUGAUAAUGACUAUGGUGUGCCUAAUAUGUGAAAGAAGCCUCCACUUUAGUGGCUUUCAUGUUGUUCUUCUCAAGAACUACCUUAGAUUCUGUAAAUCGUGCUUCUGCAAGAAAAAGUUUAGAAAGAGUCCAAUUAAUGAACUUAUCAAAUAUCGAAGGGAUGUUGGAGUCAGUUUUGGAACCAAUCACCAAAAUAUCUGCAUGCAAAAGCGCUAUGCUAUCUUUUCUAGUAGUGGAAGCUAUGUAUUAUAUCCACAAUAUGUAAUGUGCCUCAUUCUUUCUUUCCUUUUUUUUCCUGGUGGCUCAUAUGUGAGCUUGUAAAAGUCUUGUACCAUUCUUGAGGCCUCAUACUUGUUAAUUAUUGGUGUGUUGUAUCUAUGAUGUUAGCUCGGUGUCUUAGGGGAAUCAGAAUUGAGCUUUUAGUAUGUUGUAAUGUGUUUUCUCUUCCCACUGUAAUCAUAAUUUAUAAGUUCUGGAGAGCUCAGUUUCUGUCCAAGCAACUUCACUGUAACCAUAAAAAUGUUUCAGAUGUAUUUCCCUGUUUUUAUCAUGUGAACUUGGGGUGUACUUGGGUUUAGGGCCCAUGAGCUGUAGAUUGCUGCUGCAUUCUGAAUGGGCUGGAAAUAGAAGACUUUGAUUGUUUCCGUCUUAAUGAAGGCCUGGUGCGGUGUUCUUUUUGUAAUUUUUCUUUCCAAGUCUUCCUUUUGGAAGCAUUUGGUCAUAUGUAUAGUUGUUCUUGAAGGGGCAUCAUUGUAUAAAAUAUAGAUCAUACUCUUCUGUUAGUUUAAUAAACAGAGAAAAUGGAAUGUAGUGUUAUGCAAAUGUAUUAUACAUUUGAUUAUGA